rnacentral:rRNA from 1 species
UUAAAUUUAAUACCGUAUACGUUUCGCAAGAAAGAAAGGGGGCCUUCUUUGCUCUCGCUAAAAUAUGAGCCUGCGCACUAUUAGCUAGUUGGUGGGUAAAUGCUUACCAAGGCGAUGAUGGUUAUCCGGCCUGAGAGGGUGAUCGGACACAUUGGGACUGAGAUAUGGCCCUGACUCCUACGGGAGGCAGCAGUGGGGAAUUUUGCGCAAUGGACGAAAGUCUGACGCAGCAACGCCGCGUGGAGGAUGAAGCCCUUUGGGGUGUAAACUUCUGUUGAUCGGGAAGAAAAAUUAGUAGUUAAUACCUUCUAUAAUGACGUUACCGAUAAAGAAAGCACCGGCUAAUCUCGUG